CCUCCUCGUGGCUCGUGGCGCCUCGACGACGACCGGGGCCGACGCUCGUCCAGGAGGUCGACCCUACACGUCGACAUCGUCGUCGACGCCGUCGAGCGCGCGAGAAAUCGUCUCUCUCUCUCUCUUUCUCUCUUGGUCGUCGUGCGCGUCACCACCAUGCCAAUGGCGCGAUAUAUCGGGACGCCCUCGCGAGUGCUUUUCCCGCCUCCGUAGCUCGGAUUCUCUCAAAAGCUGUCAAGAGUGAGCGAGGUAGCAAGCCAGCCAGCUAACUCCUCAAGAUGUCGAGCGGGCUCGAUACUUGUUUCUCUCUCUUUCUCUCGUCUCCCCCUUCCGCUAGGCUUAUUUUUCUCGGUGAUCAUGCACACGCUCGUUAUUACCCAGCGAAACGAAUCGCGAGUGUUGGCGAGGAGUUGGCGGGAGCAGGGCAGAGGGCCGAGAGAUAGACGGAAAUCGAGAUACCGAGAUAGAGAGAAACCGAGAUAGUGUGAGUGAGUGAGUGAACGAGCGAGCGAGCGAGCGAGAGAGAGAGAGAGAGAGAGAGAGAGAGAGAGAGAGAGAGAGAGAGAGAGAGAGAUUUCAUUCUUUCACGAGAUAGACUCGCAUACCAGGCACAAGGUUACCGUGUCGAAUUAUAUAACGUCAGAAAGCGACUGAACGCACGCGAAUUAAUCCUGCGGUGUACGUCGAAAUAAAUUAAUUUUUUUUUCCUUUUUCUUUUCUUUUUCUUUUCUUUGAAAAAGAAAUUUUGCAGAAUAGUUUUUAGUAAUAAUUGUGUAUCCGCGAGAUUCUCCGUGCGAGACAAGUGGAAUCGAGUAUAUUCUGACAUACUGUAUUGUUAAAUUAUUUACAUAUUACAUGUAUUAUACUGACUCUUAUUCUCUUACACAUUAUAUGUACGUAUUAUACCGAUGAUGUUACAUUCCGAUGUCGUUACCUUUCAUACUACGUUCACGUUCUACGUAUUGCCGAUACCAAUUGGCAUAUACUCGAUUUCAUGCCUGACUACAGCAAAUUCUCUUAUCAUGUCAAGUGAAUUUAUCAUGUUUUUAUAUAGGUACUACUCGAGUUCCAAAAUGAGACCUCGGUGUGUUAAAUUGACUGAGCAAACGUUAUAAAUACUUGGUCCAUAUAAACUACGAAUUCUAAAUCAGAUUUGAAUCUAAAAUUUUAAUCUCGACUGUCAUAAGGUUCACUCUUUUUGAACCUUUCUAAAUUGAAUUGUAAAGUGACAUACAUUAAUAAUGUUCGGUAAGCUGAUAUUCGUCAGUCAAAGUUUCUGUGUAUAAUUUUAGAAUUUAUUUUCACGCUCAUAUGGCAAUACGAUUCAACCGCUUCGUUUUGCAAAGAAACUACCUUUGAACACCAGCACAGUUGGCACAGCUAAGAAGAAAUUAAAGAAUUCAUUUUUUCGUGCAAAUAUCGUUGCGACACAUCGUUGAAUCUUCGCGUACUUGCAUCGACAUUGUGCUCACGAUUGAGCCUUUACCCUUUGAAUUACGUUGUUGAACGUUUCUUGUGUUCCUUCAAGAAAUUGAUUUACUUUCGACGUACACAGCGAGAUACGAUCCGUGUUUUUCGCUCGUCGCGGCAUCAUCGUGACCAAUCUCGAUCGUAAAACGCAAAGACGACGUUCGACGAUGUCUCUCUCGGCGUCCGCUUUACUUCAACGUGCGCGCGACAAUGAGAGAGCAUUCGUUCACCUUGACGAAUCUUGAUUUUGAUCUUGAAAUUGUAACGGCGAGAUUUUUCGUUGUUUCACCGCUUCCUACUUUUUCUUUCUCUCUUUUUUUGUUUUUUUUUUCUUCGUUUUAACGCAUCGCGGGAAGAGACACACUCAUACUUUCUUCUCUUCGUUCGACUUUCUCUUCAAUUUCUUUUUUUUUUUUUUUAGAUCUUUUUUAGAUCUCAAAGUGGUCCCUGACCCUUGCCACCGCCAUUUUCCCUCUCACUGAUUCGUUCUUCUUUUCUUUUAUUUCACUGGAAGGAGACGCGAAAGACAAAAGGGGAAGUACGUUCAAAUCUCUCGUCUCGAGACUCACGUGAAUGAUUGAUUGAUUGAUUGAUUGAUUGAUUGAUUGAUUGAUUGAUUGAUCGACCGACCGACCGACCGACCGACCGACCGACCGAACGAUCGCCGUUUUACGCUUCGUGAAUCGUAAACAUACCUAUCGGGAGCGUGUUUCGGGUGAGGAAGAAGCAGCAGCAGCAGCUCCCCCGCCGCGAAGAAGGGCGUUCUCUUUUUUCUCUGUCUUGUACUGCCUCGAGUCAUCUGUGGUGUACAGCAGGCUGUAUUAUAAUAAAUUAUUGUGGUUUCUUGUAAUA